UACGAAGGGGGCUAGCGUUGCUCGGAAUCACUGGGCGUAAAGGGUGCGUAGGCGGGUCUUUAAGUCAGGGGUGAAAUCCUGGAGCUCAACUCCAGAACUGCCUUUGAUACUGAGGAUCUUGAGUUCGGGAGAGGUGAGUGGAACUGCGAGUGUAGAGGUGAAUUCGUAGAUAUUCGCAAGAACACCAGUGGCGAAGGCGGCUCACUGGCCCGAUACUGACGCUGAGGCACGAAAGCGUGGGGAGCAAACAGGG
rnacentral:rRNA from 1 species